UACGUAGGGGGGCGAGCGUUGUCCGGAUUUAUUGGGCGUAAAGAGCUCGUAGGCGGUUCGAUAAGUCGGACGUGAAAUCUCCACGCUCAACGUGGAGGGGCCGUUCGAUACUGGUGGACUAGAGUCCGGAAGAGGCGAGUGGAAUUCCCGGUGUAGCGGUGAAAUGCGUAGAUAUCGAGAGGAACACCUGCGGCGAAGGCGGGUUGCUGGGCUGACACUGACGCUGAUGCGCGAAAGCCAGGGGAGCGAACGGG
rnacentral:rRNA from 1 species